rnacentral:rRNA from 1 species
AACGAACGCUGGCGGCGUGGAUAAGACAUGCAAGUCGAGCGAGAUUUUUUCCUGUAGCAAUACAGGGAAAAGUCUAGCGGCGAACGGGGGCUUAACACGUGGGCAACCUGCCGAGAAGUGGGGGAUAGCUCGCCGAAAGGCGAAUUAAUACCGCAUGUGAUCAGAGUGGACAUCCAUUCAAAAUCAAAGGUGGCGCAAGCUACCGCUUCUUGUGGGGCCCGCGGCCUAUCAGCUAGUUGGUGAGGUAACGGCCCACCAAGGCUUUGACGGGUAGCUGGUCUGAGAGGACGACCAGCCACACUGGGACUGAGACACGGCCCAGACACCUACGGGUGGCAGCAGUCGAGAAUUUUUCUCAAUGGGGGAAACCCUGAAGGAGCGACGCCGCGUGGAGGAUGAAGGUCUUCGGAUUGUAAACUUCUGUCAUUGGGGAACAAGGUGCAUACGUUAACUGCGUGUGCAUUGAUAGUACCCGAAGAGGAAGAGACGGCUAACUCUGUGCCAGCAGCCGCGGUAAUACAGAGGUCUCAAGCGUUGUUCGGAUUCAUUGGGCGUAGAGGGUGCGUAGGCGGCGCGGUAAGUCGGGUGUGAAAUCUUGGAGCUUAACUCCGAAACUGCAUUCGAUACUGCCGUGCUUGAGGACUGGAGAGGGGACUGGAAUUUACGGUGUAGCGGUGAAAUGCGCAGAUAUCGUAAGGAAGACCAGUGGCGAAGGCGGGUCUCUGGACAGUUCCUGACGCUGAGGCACGAAGGCCAGGGGAGCAAACGGGAUUAGAUACCCCGGUAGUCCUGGCAGUAAACGGUGCACGUUUGGUGUGGGAGGAUUCGACCCCUUCUGCGCCGGAGCUAACGCGUUAAACGUGCCGCCUGGGGAGUACGGUCGCAAGAUUA